rnacentral:misc_RNA from 1 species
GGAAGGAUCAUUAUCAAAUCUGUCACUGUUGUGCCACCGAAGGUGGGACAACAUCUGUUCCAGGGUGGGGGUCUGUGUGACACCAUCCUGUGUUCUGUGCACUGCACAAGCAUGUAUGUAAGGAUAAUCCAAAGGCCUAACCGCCAGCAAAAACAGAAAACAACUUGCAACAAUGGAUCUCUGGGCUCCUGCAACGAUGAAGAACGCAGCGAAAUGCGAAACGUAGUACGAUCCGCACACACCUGUGAGUCAUCGAGUCUUUGAACGCACAUGGCACACCAGAUCAAGGUCUGGUGUAUACCUGUUUGAGCGAGGGAACAACAUAUACUCUGCGAGUGUGAUCUGACGAAUCGUAGGAGCGAGUCUUUAGACUCUCUAGAGUCUAGCGAUUUGGGCCUACGUUUGUUUUAAUCUAUGGUGUGGUGGUGAAGGAGCAAAUCAGCCCCGUGUGAGAAAGGGUGUGAAUCCAGAUCUCACGGGAGCAAGCCGGUUUGCUAUUUUACUGUUGAGCCACACCAAGCGAUAUUCAACGAACCUCAUCAAAUCAGGCAAGGCUACCCGCUGAACUUAAGCAUAUCAGUAAGCGGAGGAAAAGAAACUAACAAGGAUUCCCCCAGUAAUGGCGAAUGAAGCGGGAAGAGCCCAAAUUUUAAAUCCAAUCCUCCACCGAGGAUUCGAGUUGUAGUUUAGAGAGUGUGGGCUUCAGGGAGAGGGCGGCAUCCAGGUCUGCUGGAACGCAGCGCCAGAGAGGGUGAGAGCCCCGUUGGAUGUUGACCAGUUCUGUAGGUCUGCACUCGACGAGUCGAGUUGUUUGGGAAUGCAGCUCAAAGCGGGUGGUAAACCCCAUCCAAGGCUAAAUACAGGCAGGAGACCGAUAGCAAACAAGUACCGUGAGGGAAAGAUGAAAAGCACCUUGAAAAGGGAGUGAAAAGCACGUGAAAUUGUAGCAAGGGAAACGAUUUUUUAGUAAUACCCUAGUGGUAAGUCACUUGGAUUGAGGGGGGUGGGAGAGAGUCCGGUGGAAGGUGGCACGUCAGUGUUCUAUAGCCGCCGGAAGGAACCAUCGUUCUGAAUUGGAUGUGACGCACGCUGGAAAAACGACCCGUCUUGAAACACGGACCAAGGAGUCUAACGAGUAUGCGAGUAUUCGAGUGUCAAACUCGGGUGCGAGAGAGAAAUCGAUCAGGGUUGGAGAUUCAAACAGAGUUGCACAACCGGUGGAUGGUGACACACUUGCCAUUCCAACCGCAGCAUACCCGCUAGGACCCGAAAGAUGGUGAACUAUGCCUGAAUAGGGCGAAGCCAGAGGAAACUCUGGUGGAGGCUCGUAGACGUUCUGACGUGCAAAUCGAUGUUCAAAUUUGGGUAUAGGGGCGAAAGACUAAUCGAACCAUCUGGUAGCUGGUUCCUUC